rnacentral:rRNA from 1 species
CACGUAGGGCGCAAGCGUUGUCCGGAAUUAUUGGGCGUAAAGAGCUCGUAGGCGGUCUGUUACGUCUGCUGUGAAAACCCGGGGCUUAACCCUGGGCUUGCAGUGGAUACGGGGCAGACUAGAGGCAGGUAGGGGAGAAUGGAAUUCCCGGUGUAGCGGUGAAAUGCGCAGAUAUCGGGAGGAACACCGGUGGCGAAGGCGGUUCUCUGGGCCGUGACCUGACGCUGAGACGACGAAAGCGUGGGGAGCGAAACAGG